CAGCUUGAAUGCACCAAGGAAAGGCCAUUUGUGGGGACAUAGCGAGAAGGCAGCUGUCUGCAAGCCAGGAGGAGAACCCUCACCAGAAACCUCACAGAAAUCGGCCAGCACCCUCAUCUCGGGCUUCCAGCUUCAGAACAACGAGAAAACAAAUUUCUGUGGUGUAAAAUGGCCAUUACCUCGUCUAAGCUGCCACUUACAGACACAGUACAGGAUGAGGCCCAGGCCCACAGAGACAACGAUGAUGGCCACAGCUAAGAUGAUCCAGAAAUUAUUCCUCCACCAGCUCAUUGCAGUGGAAUCCUGAGAAGAAUGGAGAGAGAAGAAUGAGGUAUGAAUGAAAGAUAUCCUGGGGUUGGGUGGAGUGGGGCAGUUAUCU
rnacentral:lncRNA from 1 species